AUCUAUCUAUCUAUCUAUCUGUUUGUUUGUUUGUUUGUUAGCGACUGAAAAUUUUAAAAGUAAAAUAUAUAAAAAGGGAACACAACAAAUACAUGUAGAUGAAUCAAAUGUAGAAACUAUAAAUACUUCCGACAUGAAUUUGUGAAUCUAAUGUACUGACUCGUCUGAUCGUUUGUGUUGUCUGCAAAGCAUGCUGGGACAGUUUACCUGCUGGCUAUACUGGCUGAACGCGAAUCGUUCCCAGUAAAGUCGUUCCGCAACGUUCUGACUGUUAAACUGCUGCAUCGUGCUGAGGCGUCAGUAAACAGCGCCCUCUGCUGGUCUCACACCUCCACAUCUGGAGCAGUUCAUCUUGUUUGGGGCUUGAAUAACCACCAACCACCAGGGGAACAUGAGGUACAGGUGUCGUCACGUGGCGCUGAGUCCAGGUCCAACCCCACUGGGCCUCAGCAGGGGGCAGAAAGCAUCAGAUGUCCCUCAAGUACUGAAGAACACAAUCAGCACCACUGGACACACACAGCAGUAAGUUUGUAAAGUGGGAAGAGGCUCAUCCUGUCUGUCUUUGGGCCUGUCUUCUCUAAGUCUAAGUUUAGAGGUGAGUCAUGGCAGCACAUAUCACCCACCUGCAGAUGGAACCUGGGGCUCAGCAGCAGCAGAACCUGGACACGGAUGAUAACGCAGCUGCUUUGUUUCUCAGCUUUAUCAGCUGCCGUGUGAUUGGUCCACCUGCUGAUUACAGCUUGACCUCUGACCUCUGCAUCUGCUGUCCCGCUGCUGUGUGCAUGUGUGAUGCAGCAUCCUGCGGCUGAUUCGUCUCUUUGUCUUCGCUGAAUCGUCUUUUCAAGGUGAAACACGCCAUCAGCCUCCAUUCAGACGUGCCGUGAAGAGGCAGCGUGAGUCGUGUUCCAGCGAGGCUUUCAGCCGUAAUUAAAGCUCAUUAACGUUUAUUGAAGCCGUUUAGGAGCUGCCUUUGGAUUGGCUGGCGGCGCGGCCCUUUGUGCGGCUGCAGCUGCUGCUUCCUGUUUAUUAAAGCGCUCACUUCUCCACGAGUCGGAGAGGUGUGUGAUGUCAUCGCAGCUUCCUGAAGACACCUGCGGGCUCACCUAAACAUCACAUCUAUGAUGGGGUCAAAGGUCAACGGCUACAGCAGCGUCAGAGUCAGCUGUUCAAUUUAAGACUCAGCCUCAUAACGAGACUAAUGAGGCGUCUGGAACCAUAAACUCUGAGCUCGUCAGUCAAACAUGGAAUCGAGAAGGUGCCAUUCAAACAGGAUUUUACCGUCAAUGCGUGGACUUUCUUCAUAUUUGCAGCUUUUAGGUCUGGUCAUUAGGAUGGAGACUGAGGCCGAGCACCAUGAACAGAGGAGGACACGGCAGGCAGCAGCAGAGCAGCCAUGUUUGUCCUGUGAAGCCCCCUGCGGUGCGGCUCGAACCUCCACUGAUCUGAGAGCAGCUGAGUGACGCUCGCCAGCGGUUCCAGCCUGAAUCAAACCCAGGUGUGAUCAGUCUGUCGCUGAGUGUGUGACUCAGCUGUCAAUCACCUGCUCCCAUUAAGCUCUAAUUCCUGAAAGCUUCCUCUAACAAAGAGCUAAUGAAUGAAAGCAGCUGCUAAUCUGACGGCAGCAGCUGCUUCUCUGCGCCGCCGCUGCCGUCAAACGCCGUACGUGGACGUUCACCUGACCUCAGGGCGAGCUGUGAUCGCUCCCCGCUAACGGCGGCUCGCGCUUUACAUUAGAUUUACGAAUCUGUGUUUGCACCUUUAUGAGAGAAAACCUUUAAAAGACAUGAUCCACAGCUAGAAAUCCCUCCCAGGAUCAAAGCACCUCCUCCUCCUCUCUCCAUCACUGCCAGCGACCGCUGACCUUUGACCUGUGGCAGCAUCAGGGUGGGUUUCAGUUGAACUCUGCUUGUGAACAUGUUUGUGGGAUCGG